UUCGAGCGUCAUUACAACCCUCAAGCUCUGCUUGGUAUUGGGCGUCACCGUCACCGGUGCGCCUUAAAAUCAGUGGCGGUGCAUCCGGCUUCAAGCGUAGUAAUAAUAUUUCGCUAUGGAGGACCGGGUGAGCGCCCGCCAGAAACCCAAUUUUUUCAAUGGUUGACCUCGGAUCAGGUAGGGAUACCCGCUGAACUUAA
rnacentral:misc_RNA from 1 species